rnacentral:rRNA from 1 species
AAACUUUCAACAACGGAUCUCUUGGCUCUGGCAUCGAUGAAGAACGCAGCGAAAUGCGAUAAGUAAUGUGAAUUGCAGAAUUUAGUGAAUCAUCGAAUCUUUGAACGCACAUUGCGCCCCUUGGUAUUCCGAGAGGCAUGCCUGUUCGAGCGU